GGGUAGGAGUGGAAGAAUCAGAGUGUUUCUUUGAAAAUUGGCUUGAUGUGUCUGUCCAAGGGUCAUCUGGAGGAAAAAAUACAAGUGCACUCAGACAUGAACUAAUGGAUAAGGAGGAGACAAUCAGAACUGCUUUGGAUUCAGCCCAUAGAAGGGCCAGAGGAGUCGCGCUGACACCUUCAUGUUUAAACAGAGGACACUUUUCUGCGUGCCACUAGAUGUAUAUCAGCCAUACCAAAAUGCUGCCUUUGCCUGAGACAGGGAAGAUGAAAUGACUUUGGGGAAAUGGAGAAUCAUUCAUGAAUCCAGUUACUUUCUGAUCUGACAGCUUUGUGGCAUCUGAAUGGAUAACAAUUUGAUCUGGUAAUCUCAAUUGAUAGAGUGCAAAUGUGUAGUGAUGCAUUUUGGGAGCUCUGGUAAGUGAAAGAUGUUCACAAUGACUAGUAGAUCCCUAGAGAGCACUGAGAAACAAAGGGACCUUGAUGUCCAAAAGCAAGAGUUCAUGCCCUCUGCUUCUGGCCUUUCAGGCAAUGUUGGAUCCAACACUCCACUGAGCCUUAGAUCCCAUGAGCUCUUGUUUUGUUGACCAGUCUGCUAUCACUGACCUUAUCAAAAACAUAUAGACCACAUCAGAUGAAUUUCCCUCUUCAACACUUCUGAUAUCUCCUCAAUAAAAAUUAGAUAAAAUUUGCAAACCAUGGCAUUACCUCAACAAAGCCAUGCUGACUAUCCCCGAACAUUCCAUGUUUCUCCAAGUGCAGCGACAUUUUGUCCCUUAAAAUUCUUUCUGAUAACUUCCCUACCACCAAGGUUAGACUGGCUUGUAACUUCUGGAUCUGUCCUUUCUUCUUUUAUAUAAAAGUAUGAGCGGUCCUCUGGCACCUUAGCUGUGGCCAGAAAUGACUUGAAAAAUCUUUGCCAGGACCUUUGAUAUCUCCUCCCCUGCUUCAUAAAGUCAUGCAGUAUAGAAACAGGCUCACUUGAUCAACAUCAAUGCCAACUAACAAACAUCAAACUACUGAUCCCAUUUACCUGCACUGAGUCAUUACCUACCAUACCCUGGCCCUUUAAAUGCUCAUCUGUUGCUUCUUUAAUAUUGCAAGCGUAUCUGCCUUCUCCACCUUG